UGCCCCUUCUAGAGUGUGCUUGGAGCCCCGGGGGUGGGACGGCAGGGGGACGUGGAACUCAGGCUGGACUCCCAGCUCUUCGGGCCCCUGAAGUGUUGAGGGAGGUGCCUGCUGCCUGCCAGCCCCGUCAGUCAGGGCCUCGAGCGCAGGCGGAGUCCCUCGGUGUGCUGUGCACACCCGUGACUCCCCGGCAGCCGGGGAAAUGCUGCCUCACGCCUGCAUGCUUCUUAGCUGCCCGUGGCUUCUCCACGGGCCCAUCUGCCUGGUUUAUUGACAUGUGUCCCCAAGCCCUUUUCUGCCCCCCCUCCCCAUUUGGGCCAUUAACUGCCCCCAGUCCCUACCCUAAACUCUUGGCUGGCCCUCUGUGAUUGGAGUGUGGUCUCUGGGUCCUGCAGAGUCCAGGCCUGGGGAGGUGGGAGGAGACGGCUGUGGGAAAGGCCCUCGGGGACCCCUCAGGCCCUGUCACCCUCUGAGUGGGCUUCCGUCAGAACAAAGGGCGCCUCUGUGGACAGGCUGAGAACUGCGCUAACCUCUCAGGCCAGCGUGUCUUCAUCCACCUUUGGAUUCUUUUGUCCACUCCCUACAGAACCUUCCACUCCCAAACAUACCUCCUCCCUUUGUCCAGGCAGCAUGUCCAGCAGGAAUGCCCUGACCACCACUGCCAUCCAAAUUGCCCCUCCAAGCCCCAGCGUAAAUGCCCUGUUCUCCCUGCAGCCCCCAGCCCAAACUUCACCACGCUGACAUUCUGCCUGGUGCAUUUGAAAACCUUCCUGUCUCCCUCAUGGGCCCCAUGCGGGUCUGGCAAAGCCUAAGCUCAGCAAACACCCACCAAUAAUAGGCCAACAGUGGGAGUAUUUUCCAGAAUGGAGUUGGUGCUCCCCACGGCUCAUCUGACCUGACAGCAGCUCCCACGUUCUGGUCAGCAGGGAGAGAGCUGUGAGGGCCUGGCCUCCCACUCGCGCCCAGCGGCUGUUCAGGUCAAGCUGUGGCCGCCCCAUGGGCUCAAGUGCACCUGAUCUCUGACAGCAGCUGUGCCAGGAGUACAGGCUGUCCUGGGCGGCAGUGGGGGCUGCGUGAGGCUCCCUGCAGCUCAGCCCCGCCGCCCCCAGCCAGAGUGUGGGCCAGAGCAGUCCUGGUCUGCAUAGACCUGGGAAAACUCGGGCUCCAUGGAGAUCCCCCAGGAUGCAGUGGGUGCCUGAAGCAGGCAUGACAAAGCUGGGGAAGCGAGGGAAGGCUUCUCAGAAAAGGAGCAUUUAAGUUGGGCUUUGAAAGGCCCCGUCCUGGGCAGGGCGCUGGCCCAGCGCACACGCUCACACCAGUCUGAGCCCCAGCGAGACCAGUUCCGUGCGGACGCUCCACCCUGAGAAGCUCUGACGCCUCGCCUCUGUUUUCUCAUCUGUUCGCCCACCUUCACAAAACGGCUGCGGUCAGAAGAGACUGGGUACAGUCACGGGUGAGAGGGUCGGCGCUCGACGCCAGCCAGGACCGCCUUGGGUCCGGCAGCACGUCUCAGAUUGGGGCUCUCCCCCACCAGACAGACCAGCGAGGCUGGGGUCUCCGGAGCAAGCAGGGUGCAGAGAGGCGGGGCAGGCUCACGCCGAGACCAACCCAUGGAGAAUAAAUAAAUAAAUAAAUAAUGUAGGA